AGGGUUCGAUUAUGGCUCAGGAUGAACGCCAGCGACAGGCCUAACACAUGCAAGUCGAGGGGCAUCAGGUAUCAGCUUGCUGAUACGCUGGCGACCGGCGCACGGGUGAGUAACGCGUAUGGAAUCUGUCUGUAACAGGGGGAUAACCCGGAGAAAUUCGGACUAAUACCCCAUGCCGCCGGUUUUUUGCAUGAAAGGCCGGCGAAAGGGUAACCGGUUACAGGUGAUCAUGCGUUCCAUUAGCUGGUUGGCGGGGUAACGGCCCACCAAGGCAACGAUCGGUAGCCGGACUGAGAGGUUGAGCGGCCACAUUGGGACUGAGACACGGCCCAG
rnacentral:rRNA from 1 species